GGAUCCCUCAGAAGACUUGUGAAAACACAGACUGGUGUGGGGCACUUAGAGUUUAUUCAUUGGCUAAUUAUUGUCACAUUAGUUUGGAACAUGUGAAACUCAGUCUCUGUAAGAAUGUCACCCUGGAUGUGGUUCAAAAACUGCGAAAACUGUAGAUGGUCACAAUGAAAUUGUGGAAACUUAUUGUAGGAACAGAAGGAUCCAACUCUUCCAUGAAGGCUGGGAAAUGGUAUGGUUAGACAGAAGAGGGGAAAAUUAAGUUUGAUAUUCACAUUUUGUGAUGAUAAUAAGGAGCUAUUAUGUUAAUUACAUAAUCCAGAUCUUUCCCUUGACAAAUUGUGACAACCAAUAAUGUCUCCAAACAUUGCCAGAUGUCUCCCGGGAAACAAAAUUAUCAUAGAUUGAAAAAAAGAAAUAUCAAAAUGAUCGAAUUUUUAAGAUCUACUACCCAUUAAGCAGUCAGUAUUAAAGAAACAAUAGCACUGCUAAAGUAAGUGUUUAAAAACAAAGGGUAACAUGCACUUGGACAUAAGAUUUCCCUAAGAUUUAUGUAAAAAAAUUUUAAAAAUCACCCUAGUUUUUAACUGUCGCUGCCUGCCAAAGGAUUUUGAUUACUAAUUCUUUCUCAGGUUGUGGAGACAAGGACCGAGAAAAAUUAUUCGGAUGCAGGGAUCUAUGUGAUUUCUGAUGUGUAUUAACCAGAAAAUGGGGUGUUCUGGUAAAUCUCGUAGAUUAGUUUGCAAGAAAACUUGUAUAUGCAGACGUUUACCAAAGUUCCGCAAUUACAAGAGACUGAAAUACUCACAACAUUAACCAAUUUGGGAGUCCUACCCCUAUCCUCCUUUGCUCUUUUUGUCCAGGUAGCUUUUCACACUCCUGCUAGCCCUUUGCUUUACCUGAGCAACCAGUGUUUCACUCCAAAGACCCUGGCAAACGCUACCGCUGAAGCCCCGGUUCUGGCCGGGUGUCCCAAGUCCAAGAGGCCCCAACCCGGGCUGGGCCGGAUGGAGCCUGGCACAGAAGGGACAGCGGGCUCCGGAGGCGUGGG